rnacentral:rRNA from 1 species
UACGUAGGGUGCGAGCGUUAAUCGGAAUUACUGGGCGUAAAGCGUGCGCAGGCGGUGAGCUGUGUCCGAUGUGAAAUCCCCGGGCUUAACCUGGGAAUGGCAUUUGGGACUGCAAGGCUGGAGUGUGGCAGAGGAGACUGGAAUUCCUGGUGUAGCGGUGAAAUGCGCAGAUAUCAGGAGGAACACCGGUGGCGAAGGCGGGUCUCUGGGCCGAUAUUGACGCUGAGGAGCGAAAGCGUGGGGAGCGAACAGG